UAAUUUAGAUCGAAAACAUUUACCUACAAAUCUUUUUCAUAAUGUCUACGAAUAAUAAAUAUUGCCUGCACCAUUCCUCUCCUACAUUUUUCGAAAAAUCAGAAUCAAGUUUCAAACGCAAUCGCUCAGCUACGGAUAAUGCGAUCCUAAAACGCUGAACUGUACCGAAUGGGAUCGUCUCCAAAUUCACGUCUCGGUCAGUUUGAUCCGUAGCACGCUGUGAAAUCAUAAACAAGGUUUUAACACCUUUGGCAACGCGAUCCGCAAUUGCGUAACGGUGUUAUGAAACGGUCGAAAUUCGCUAAACGAGACUCGGAAACAACCGAAUCUAGCGAUUUCACGAAAAUUCAGUGACCCCUGGAAACGCUUUGGCCGAUCGUUCUGCGACAAAGAGACCGAGAACGACAGGAGGUUUGGCGUGGUGAUUAUUGGCUGCGUGUCGAUUGAUUAUGGCGCAAAAGAUCAACAUAAUAAUUAACAGACGACAAAAGAAGGGGUGACGGGCGGGGGGGGGGGGUAGACACGAAAAUCGGCAGUAACAAAAAUUGAAAACAACUCCUGAAAACGCAGGAAUGCAAAAAAAAAAUAAAACGAAACACGACAUCAAAUUGUUUGCUUAAACGAGAUCAACGGAAAACUGGUGGACUUGUCGAUUGCGUGUGUGUAUGUACGCAUCGUGUGCGCGUACAUGAACACGGGGAUUUAUGUACAGAGCCUUUAGUUAAUUCGUGAUUAAUCAAGAUUUGGAGAGACAAAAAUAGAAACAAAAACACGAGAGGGGUGUGAGAAGAGAGAAAGAAACAUGAGCCAGGGGUUUAAGGGGGGUGGUGUGUGGUGGUGGAUGUUGCUUCGAGCACUGAUCGCGAAUUAUUAGAUUACGCUUUUUGGCAGGAUCGAGACUUCUGUUGUAUGUUAUCCACGGGUAACAAUAUUUAUGGAAUGUUGAACAAAUCUAGGAACGAUUGGAAUGACAGAUCGCUCGUAUGAUCGCUGAAUACUUAUAAAAUUGACUAUAUAUCGAGGAUCUCGUUAAAACUGUAAUUACGUUGAAUAUAUAAACAUCGUAAUGUACGUCAAUUUGCACGUAACACGAGGAAACUUGAAGAAUACACGAAUGGAAACGGAAACAACAAUUUACACGUAACACGAGGAAAUUUUCGAGACACACGAACAUAAAAAGGAGUUUCGAGGUUCAAGAGUUACAGAAAAAUAAAAAUGGUACAGCGAAUUCGCAGCACCUGCAAAGACGUUUCUCCAUCUAUAAUCGAGGAAUAAGGUUUUCGUCGAGUUCCAAAGUUCAGCUGGCUAGACGACGCGUAUAUUAAUCUCCUCCAUCAUCUUGGCAUCGAGACUUGGCAUUAGCUCGUAACAGUGGGCCUGACAAUGGCUACGUUUUUCCGCCGAACGGUUUACUCGUUAAUUAGAUUGCACCACAUUUGAGCGCGGCGCGCUUCAAACGCCGCGGCUUCGGUAUAAGAAUAAACCGCAUUACGUUAUCGUACACAUAUUUAUGAAACGUUUGGCAAUCGUCCAGCCCGACGCAAAGUUAUAUUAACUGCGCGCCGCCUUAUGCAACUGGCCGUAGUAUAAUACGGUCAAAAGCCUGAAAACUUUUCGACCGUACAAGCUCGCGAACAAGCUCGCGGAUACUUUGAUUCACCUGUAACGUUAGACGGUCAUGAACCUCGAACGAGAAGCGUGGAUGGUCGAACGAAGUCGAAGAUGGUCUACCAAGCACAUUCGAGAGCAACUUCCUUUUUUUUUUACAGGACGUAAAAGUGGAGAACAGGCAGCCUACCGUCUCUUUCAUUCCGAGGACCAUUGUCACACCUACAAGUAUACACAGGGUGUGUCCCAGCACGUGGAUCCUGCUUUGAACGCUGUUUACACUCCAUUUUUGUAAAACUAAAUGAAUGAAUGCUGAAAAAUGAAUGCUGACAGCAAUGACAACAAACGAAGUUGAAGACUAUUUUUGUAAUAAUUUGCAGAAAUCUCG